rnacentral:rRNA from 1 species
UGGCUCAGAAUGAACGUUGGCGGCGUGGAUUAGGCAUGCAAGUCGCGCGAUGAAGUUUCCUGCUUGCAGGAGGCGGAUUAGCGGCGAAAGGGAGAGUAACGUGUGGAUCAUCUACCUCUAGGACCGGGAUAGCUGCGGGAAACUGCAGGUAAUACCAGAUAAUAUCUCCGGAUCAAACGGUGAGAUUCCGCCUAGAGAUGAGUCCGCAUCCCACUAGCUUGUUGGUAAGGUAAUGGCUUACCAAGGCAUCGAUGGGUACCGGGUGUGAGAGCAUGGCCCGGCUCACUGGGACUGAGACACUGCCCAGACACCUACGGGUGGCUGCAGUCGAGAAUCUUCGGCAAUGGACGAAAGUCUGACCGAGCGACGCCGCGUGCGGGAUGAAGGCCUUCGGGUUGUAAACCGCUGUCAGUUGGGAGGAAAUACUAUGGGGCAAUCCCUGUAGUUUGACCUAUCUUCAGAGGAAGGACGGGCUAAGUUCGUGCCAGCAGCCGCGGUAAGACGAACCGUCCAAACGUUAUUCGGUAUCACUGGGUUUAAAGGGUGCGUAGGCGGCUUAAUAAGUAAGGUGUGAAAGACCUCGGCUCAACCGAGGAAUUGCGCUUUAAACUGUUAGGCUUGAGGAAGGUAGAGGUAAGCGGAACUUGCGGUGGAGCGGUGAAAUGCAUUGAUAUCGCAGGGAACACCAGUGGCGAAGGCGGCUUACUGGACCUUUUCUGACGCUGAGGCACGAAAGCUAGGGUAGCGAACGGGAUUAGAUACCCCGGUAGUCCUAGCCGUAAAC